rnacentral:rRNA from 1 species
GCGUGCUUAAACAUGNCAAGUCGAACGAUGAAGCCCUUCGGGGUGGAUUAGUGGCGAACGGGUGAGUAACACGUGGGCAAUCUGCCCUUCACUCUGGGACAAGCCCUGGAAACGGGGUCUAAUACCGGAUAACACCGGCUCCUGCAUGGGGGCUGGUUAAAAGCUCCGGCGGUGAAGGAUGAGCCCGCGGCCUAUCAGCUUGUUGGUGGGGUAAUGGCCUACCAAGGCGACGACGGGUAGCCGGCCUGAGAGGGCGACCGGCCACACUGGGACUGAGACACGGCCCAGACUCCUACGGGAGGCAGCAGUGGGGAAUAUUGCACAAUGGGCGAAAGCCUGAUGCAGCGACGCCGCGUGAGGGAUGACGGCCUUCGGGUUGUAAACCUCUUUCAGCAGGGAAGAAGCGAAAGUGACGGUACCUGCAGAAGAAGCGCCGGCUAACUACGUGCCAGCAGCCGCGGUAAUACGUAGGGCGCAAGCGUUGUCCGGAAUUAUUGGGCGUAAAGAGCUCGUAGGCGGCUUGUCACGUCGGGUGUGAAAGCCCGGGGCUUAACCCCGGGUCUGCAUCCGAUACGGGCAGGCUAGAGUGUGGUAGGGGAGAUCGGAAUUCCUGGUGUAGCGGUGAAAUGCGCAGAUAUCAGGAGGAACACCGGUGGCGAAGGCGGAUCUCUGGGCCAUUACUGACGCUGAGGAGCGAAAGCGUGGGGAGCGAACAGGAUUAGAUACCCUGGUAGUCCACGCCGUAAACGUUGGGAACUAGGUGUUGGCGACAUUCCACGUCGUCGGUGCC